rnacentral:ncRNA from 1 species
CAGAGUAGGCAUUCAUGCGUUAGUCACGGCCUGUGACUGGCAGUGCCGGCUAUACAGGGAGUUGAUAGCCGGACGAAGUACGAAACGUCGCGAUAUGGAUGCCGCAUCCCGCUGU